CCUUCGAUAGCUCAGUUGGUAGAGCGGAGGACUGUAGUUGAUACUCUAGCCGAGAGACAUCCUUAGGUCGCUGGUUCGACUCCGGCUCGAAGGA
rnacentral:tRNA from 1 species